rnacentral:lncRNA from 1 species
AAGAUCAAAGAAUACUACACCUUUGUCUAUGGUUACAUCACCUUUUGAAUUAGGUAUAUUAUCUCAGAAUUCAUAUUUAUUAUUUUAAAUUAUUUUUAUUCCAAAAAUCUUCUUAUUUAAUUUUUAUAUUGGUUAUUUUUGGUGAGGAUGUUAGAGAAGAUGUUACAUUGCUCUCUACAAAUUCAAGAUCUAAAUACUUAAGUUGGAUGGAAAGCAAUUUAAUAGAUGUUGAAGCAAGCAAGUACAAAUAUGAAGAAUUUCCAAGCGGAUUUGUUUGGUGUGGUCAAGAAAAUCAAUGGAAGCAAAGGUCCACAAAAAAAAGAAAAAAACCAAGAAUUCAAAAAGUUUAAUUAAUC